GACGAACGCUGGCGGCGUGCCUAAUACAUGCAAGUUGAGCGCUGAAGGUUGGUACUUGUACCAACUGGAUGAGCAGCGAACGGGUGAGUAACGCGUGGGGAAUCUGCCUUUGAGCGGGGGACAACAUUUGGAAACGAAUGCUAAUACCGCAUAAAAACUUUAAACACAAGUUUUAAGUUUGAAAGAUGCAAUUGCAUCACUCAAAGAUGAUCCCGCGUUGUAUUAGCUAGUUGGUGAGGUAAAGGCUCACCAAGGCGAUGAUACAUAGCCGACCUGAGAGGGUGAUCGGCCACAUUGGGACUGAGACACGGCCCAAACUCCUACGGGAGGCAGCAGUAGGGAAUCUUCGGCAAUGGACGAAAGUCUGACCGAGCAACGCCGCGUGAGUGAAGAAGGUUUUCGGAUCGUAAAACUCUGUUGGUAGGGAAGAACGUUGGUGAGAGUGGAAAGCUCAUCAAGUGACGGUAACUACCCAGAAAGGGACGGCUAACUACGU
rnacentral:rRNA from 1 species